UGAAUGAUUUCACACGCUACCCUUUGUCUUUUCAUCCUUCACACACAAUCCUACCAUCUCUUUCAACACGUUUUAUACUUCUCCAUCUCUCUCCACAACUGCUUGUCUUUUCCAACCAAUAACAAAUACAUCUUCCAAUAAUCUCCAACUCUGAAGUUCACUAUGGCAAGACCUUUUGAAAAAUUGAAGGACAUCAAUGAAAGUAAGGAAGUCUGAAAAAUUGUCGUCAGAAUCCAUCACAAAUAGACAAUUUUAUCAAAGACUAAAGAGCACAUCGAAUUGAUUCUGGUUGAUAAAGAGGAGCUAUACUUUUGAAGCAACAACUAAUUGCAUUUGUUGAGAUAGUAACUCCAUCUCUGAAAGUAUAUAUUAAGGUGUCAAUGUUGGAAAUAUACAAUGAAACGGUUUGAGAUUUGUUCUCUAUAACAAAUAAGUUUGCAGCAGACACAACUCGAGUAGAAAACGGUACUCCUGGGAUGCAAUACACAAUCAAACAUGAUGCC